AAUGGAUGCACUUGAGCUGACCUAAGCAUUCAUGGUCAUGAGCUUCAUGGUUGCUACUGUUGGUUAGGAGCAUAGAGAUCAGUAAUGGACACAUCUGGGCUGGCAGAACAUCUGGCCUUGAUCUGGAGCCCCAUGUCUGUCUCUCUGUAGAGGUGCACAUGGGCCUAUAAUGGAUGCAGUGAGCUGAUCAUUUCUCUGUGAUCAAGGCUAUAUUGCCUCUGUAUUAGGCCAAUGUGAGUAAUGGUUCCUGUCUUGGUUUAGGUUGUUUAAUAGUAUUCCUGGUAUUAUUAAAAAUUAUUUAAUAUAAUAAAAAGUUAAUUGGUUCAAUGACAAUGUGCAACAUUGAGGUUAAUUAAUCAAAGAGAUAUAGUCUCUGUGGGAAAUGAUCCUGUAGACAAAUGUAAGGAUUCUUCAGAUAUCUUGUUCUUGGGUUUUUGAAAUCGUGUAUUCACUUUAUUAUCAAAGAACAAAUGAUUUAUUCAAUAAAU